rnacentral:rRNA from 1 species
UACGUAGGGGGCAAGCGUUGUCCGGAAUCAUUGGGCGUAAAGCGCGCGUAGGCGGCCCGGUAAGUCCGUUGUGAAAGUCAAAGGCUCAACCUUUGAACGCCGAUGGAUACUGCCGGGCUAGAGUCCGGAAGAGGCGAGUGGAAUUCCUGGUGUAGCGGUGGAAUGCGCAGAUAUCAGGAAGAACACCGGUGGCGAAGGCGGCUCUCUGGGCCUUACCUGACGCUGAGGAGCGAAAGCGUGGGUAGCGAACAGG